rnacentral:tRNA from 1 species
GGGCGCAUGGCUCAGCGGUAGAGCGCCUGCUUGUCGAGCAGGAGGCCGCGGGUUCGAUCCCCGCUGUGCCCG